rnacentral:rRNA from 1 species
GAUGAACGCUGGCGGCGUGCCUAAUACAUGCCAGUCGAGCGAACGGACGAGAAGCUUGCUUUUCUGAUGUUAGCGGCGGACGGGUGAGUAACACGUGGAUAACCUACCUAUAAGACUGGGAUAACUUCGGGAAACCGGAGCUAAUACCGGAUAAUAUUUUGAACCGCAUGGUUCAAAAGUGAAAGACGGUCUUGCUGUCACUUAUAGAUGGAUCCGCGCUGCAUUAGCUAGUUGGUAAGGUAACGGCUUACCAAGGCAACGAUGCAUAGCCGACCUGAGAGGGUGAUCGGCCACACUGGAACUGAGACACGGUCCAGACUCCUACGGGAGGCAGCAGUAGGGAAUCUUCCGCAAUGGGCGAAGGCCUGACGGAGCAACGCCGCGUGAGUGAUGAAGGUCUUCGGAUCGUAAAACUCUGUUAUUAGGGAAGAACAUAUGUGUAAGUAACUGUGCACAUCUUGACGGUACCUAAUCAGAAAGCCACGGCUAACUACGUG